AAAGAGAAAGUAAUGUGAGAAGGGAAGAGGAAAAGGAAAGGAAAAGAGUAAGUAUGAAAAAAAUAAAAUGAAAAACUUUUAGGGGUCUUUGGACUAACAAAAAUUGCUGAGUGCCUCCCGGAGAGUGUUGGGCUCCACAAGAGCCUCUGAUUCAAGGUGCAUAGGUGAAUUGGUUGAUGAUAGCUGAUUGAAGGCUAGUUACUUGCCCUAGCAUUGAAGAUGAGGGAGGUGUUGAGUGGGGAGAGAUGGGGGAAGGAAUGACAAAACCAAAACAAAUAUAAAAUUUUGCUGACUGCACUUCUAGUUUAACUAAAAUAAGUUUAUUUUAGUCACAACAGUGAAAAUAAGAUCAAGUGAGAAUAAUAAAAGUGGAGCCUAUGUAACCUUUAGCGUAAGAAUGCCUAGUCGGACACUGCCUAGGUGCCUAGGCAAUAGCUGAGAUACAUAGAAUUAUUUAUCCACCAUGACAUGCAACACAAAAAGGUAGGAUGUAUAACAUUGCUCUUCAAGAAACAACAUAUAACACUGCAUAGAACGAAAAACACACAUACACAAUCAUGCUCUUCAGUUUGCUCAUCUUCGAUGCUCUCAUCAUCAUUAUAAUUGCUUUCAGUUGUGCACAUCAUGGUCUCAAAAAAUGGUUUGUCAAAUGAGAGAUCCCCAACUUCAAAUAUAUAAAAACACAUAUCAGAGGCUUCCACAGCAUGCAAUUAAGGAAACCUUCCUCUUUCUCUGGUCUUCUCUUAUCUUUGCACAUACAACUUGUCUAGUGAGUGAAGAGAUGGAAGGGAUGGCAAAUGCAAGAGAUUUUGGUGCAGAGUAAAUUGGUUUGUUGCUGAGCUAUUCAGUACUUAACCUGCCUUACCUGUUAAACCUUUCUGAGCAUUUUGGACUGCCUAGUUGCCCUUUUGAGCCUAUUCGGCUCUUUAUGCAUCAGGAUGGGUUCUCGGCAUUUUGGGCUGUUUGGUUGCCCUGUUGAGCCUAUUCGCCUGCUUAAGCAUCUAGAGUAGGUAUAGGUCUCCUAAGUUCCUAGGCAAGGAAACAGGUCCCCAUGGAGCUGCUUGGGCUAGCAAUUAAAACAGUAUGGUUUCUUUAAUGUCUGUCCAAUGUCUACAUCAUUUACUCUUGCUUUCAUCCUAAUCCCUGUUCUUGGGUGAAGGAACUCUUAGUUGCACUGCAGGUAACUUGGUUCUGUGAAACUUCUAUCCACUACGUAGUCUGCAUUAUAAUAUUCAUUUAUAACAUUGUAAGUUUAACCUUCUACAGGUUCUUGUAAUGAGAGAACUUCCUCUUCCACAACUUUGAUGCUGAAAGUAUCAAAUUUUAUUGGAGACAUCUAUGGAUUGAAAAGAAAGAAAGAUUGGAAAGAGAAAUGGAGAUAAAGCGGGUUACAGAGGAACUGUUGGCUCAAGCAAAACAUUACCCUUGCUGAGACAUCCUAUUUUGGUUCUUUUCCUUUAAAAUUUUUGUAUGCUUAAAUAAGAGUUUCCUGGAAGAGUGAUCCCUGAUUGCCACUAAAUGCUGGUAAUUAGCUCACAUAGGUUGUUCUGUUUCCUAACUUCAUGCUUGGAUUUGCAUGAUAUAUCAGCUUUUCAAUGCUAUCAGACAGUCUGAAGAACAUAACUUCUGUUUCCUUUAUGCCUGUCCACCUUCUGCUUGUUUUGUAUAAGACAAGACAAGGGUGUAACUGAUACAUAUCAUGCAUGAUAAAAUGUUUGAUCUGGGAAA